UACAGAGGUCUCAAGCGUUGUUCGGAUUCAUUGGGCGUAAAGGGUGCGUAGGUGGCGGGGUAAGUCAGGUGUGAAAUCUCGGAGCUCAACUCCGAAACUGCACUUGAUACUGCCUUGCUCGAGUACUGGAGAGGAGAUUGGAAUUUACGGUGUAGCAGUGAAAUGCGUAGAUAUCUGGAGGAACACCGGUGGCGAAGGCGGCAUCCUGGACCGACACUGACACUGAGGAGCGAAAGCCAGGGGAGCAAACGGG
rnacentral:rRNA from 1 species